rnacentral:rRNA from 1 species
CCCUUAGAUGUCCUGGGCCGCACGCGCGCUACACUGACAUGUUCAACAAGCCUCCUAGUUCGACAGGAUUUGGGAAAUCUUUGAACGCAUGUCGUGAUAGGGAUAGAUCAUUGCAAUUAUUGAUCUUGAACGAGGAAUUCCUAGUAAACGCGAGUCAUCAGCUCGCAUUGAUUACGUCCCUGCCCUUUGUACACACCGCCCGUCGCACCUACCGAUUGAAUGUUUCGGUGAAGAUUCCGGAUAGGACUUUUUGGAUUUAUUUCAAUUUUGUCUUAAAAGCUAUCUAAACCUCAACAUUUAGAGGAAGGUGAAGUCGUAACA